GGCCGCCUGGCGAAAUGGCAUCGCGUCUGACUACGAUAUCUGCACCUGCUAAAGGUUGUAAUCAGGAGAUUGCAGGUUCGACCCCUGCGGUGGUCA
rnacentral:tRNA from 1 species